UACGGGGGGGAGCAAGCGUUGUUCGGAUUUACUGGGCGUAAAGGGCGCGUAGGCGGCCACCGCAAGUCGACUGUGAAAUCUCCGGGCUUAACCCCGGAAAGGUCAGCCGAUACUGCGGGGCUAGAGUGCAGAAGGGGCAACUGGAAUUCUCGGUGUAGCGGUGAAAUGCGUAGAUAUCGAGAGGAACACCUGCGGCGAAGGCGGGUUGCUGGGCUGACACUGACGCUGAGGCGCGAAAGCUAGGGGAGCGAACGGG
rnacentral:rRNA from 1 species